rnacentral:rRNA from 1 species
UUGAACGCUGGCGGCAUGCCUUACACAUGCAAGUCGAACGGUAGAGGAGCAAUCCUCGAGAGUGGCGAACGGGUGAGUAAUGUAUCGGAACGUGCCCAGUAGUGGGGGAUAGCCCGGCGAAAGCCGGAUUAAUACCGCAUGAGACCUGAGGGUGAAAGCGGGGGACUCGCAAGAGCCUCGCGCUACUGGAGCGGCCGAUAUCAGAUUAGCUAGUUGGUGGGGUAAAGGCCCACCAAGGCGACGAUCUGUAGCUGGUCUGAGAGGACGACCAGCCACACUGGAACUGAGACACGGUCCAGACUCCUACGGGAGGCAGCAGUGGGGAAUUUUGGACAAUGGGCGCAAGCCUGAUCCAGCAAUGCCGCGUGCAGGAUGAAGGCCUUCGGGUUGUAAACUGCUUUUGUACGGAACGAAACGGCGAGCUCUAAUAAAGUUUGCUAAUGACGGUACCGUAAGAAUAAGCACCGGCUAACUACGU